UUCAACACCACCUCCUCACAGCGUUUCAUAAAUUAGCGCCCCUAGGGGUGACAGGAAUUACGACCCACACGAGCACUUUCUGUCCUCAUAUCUA